GAUUGUUGCAACGACAUUCGUUCAUAAUUGUUCAUUACUGUUCCCGUCUCGGGUGGAUGGUCAGAAAACACGUAUAUAUUAUUUGUUGGAACGUUAAGCAAUUACAUUGAAUCUCUUGCGUUCUUUAAACUUUAAGUCGUACUCUUGCAGCGUGAAAAAUGACUGGACUUAAUAUUUUGAUAGGAGCACUGGUAUUACUAGUGUCCGGCACUAUUUUCUCCCACGCGGACUACCAAUUUUGCAAUCGUAAAAAGGCGUGCCCAGAAGGACAAUUCUGCGGUAGAGACACUAAUGGCCUUCGUCGUUGUAGACCCAUUGGUACUGGUAAGUUAUCAUCCCGAUCCAAAUGCUUGAAGAGUGGUCUCUGUUAAUUUAUCU